rnacentral:rRNA from 1 species
UAUGUAGGGGGCAAGCUUUGUCCGGAUUUAUUGGGCGUAAAGAGCGUGUAGGCGGCCAUACAGGUCCGUUGUGAAAACUGGAGGCUUAACCUCCAGACGUCGAUGGAAACCGUAUGGCUAGAGUCCGGAAGAGGAGAGUGGAAUUCCUGGUGUAGCGGUGAAAUGCGCAGAUAUCAGGAGGAACACCGGUGGCGAAGGCGGUUCUCUGGGCCUGUACUGACGCUGAGAAACGAAAGCGUGGGGAGCGAACAGG